UACGUAGGGUCCGAGCGUUGUCCGGAAUUACUGGGCGUAAAGAGCUCGUAGGUGGUUUGUCGCGUUGUUCGUGAAAACUCACAGCUUAACUGUGGGCGUGCGGGCGAUACGGGCAGACUGGAGUACUGCAGGGGAGACUGGAAUUCCUGGUGUAGCGGUGGAAUGCGCAGAUAUCAGGAGGAACACCGAUGGCGAAGGCAGGUCUCUGGGCACUUAACUGA
rnacentral:rRNA from 1 species